GGGAGUAGCAGUCAGUCUCUCACACACUCUCUCUCUGGCGUUGAGCUAAGGGCAUAGAAUAGGGCACCUGGAAUCCUUGACGCUUCACAGCACUCUGUCUCACUUCUAUCUCUGCAUCACACUUAUCUCUGCGUCUGCAGCCCGGGACCACGCAGCCAGCUGGAGGCGUCGCUGUAGCUUCCACAGGGAGAGGAGGCCGUAACUCACCUGCGCUGUCUUUCUCUUACAAACACACACACACACGCACACAGAAGCUGCCCAGCCGAACCCCUCACACACCUUUGGAGUGCAGCGUGAGAGGGGAGCAGCUCUCCGACACCCUGCCUGUGUGAAGGACUCGAUUCCGCGGUCAUGUCAUGGGACUGUGGCCUGAGGUACAUGUUCUCUGUGUCCCCGGCACUGCAGCCCGGCAGUGGGGGUGGGGCUGACCUGCACGACAAGGAGGAUCUGUCCCGUCUGGAGAUGGUGCAGAGGCUGGCCAAGGACGGAUGCCGCUUUCUCCAGAACCAUGGCAACGGCAAGGCCCCAACGGAGAGGACCGCAGAGUGAUGAUGUUGGGGAACAUUCCAGUGUGGCAGUAAAGGUCACCAUGAUCUCUUCAAGAGGAACACUGUUUCUGACAGGCUGAGAGGAACAGAGAUACAGAGAAAGGUAGACAGAGAGAUUCAUCAUGGUGUGCAGGCUGUGUUAGGGGUUAGUCAUGGUGUGCAGGUUGUGUCAGAUGUUAGUUAUGGUGUGCAGGCUGUGUUAGGGGUUAGUCAUGGUGUGCAAGCUGUGUUAGGUGUUUAUCAUGGUGUGCAAGCUGUGUUAGGGGUUAGUCAUGGUGUGCAGGCUGUGUUAGUCAUGGUGAGCAGGCUGUGUUAGGUGUUAGUCAUGUUGUGCAGGCUGUGUUAGAUGUUAGUAAUGGUGCUCAGGCUGUGUUAGGUGUUAGUCAUGGUGUGCAGGCUGUGUUAGAUGUUAGUUAUAGUGUGCAGGCUGUGUUAGGUCCUACUUAAAAUGUGUGUUUACUAAUUUUAUAUGUGCAAAUCCCACCAUCACUCAAAUGUCAUGAAUCACUGCUUAUGUCCCAGAUGGCCUAGUGCACCACUAC
rnacentral:lncRNA from 1 species